GACGAACGCUGGCGGCGUGCUUAACACAUGCAAGUCGAACGCUGAAGCCCUUUCGGGGGUGGAUGAGUGGCGAACGGGUGAGUAACACGUGGGUAAUCUGCCCUGUACUUCGGGAUAAGCCUUGGAAACGGGGUCUAAUACCGGAUAGGACCUGUCCUCGCAUGGGGGUGGUGGAAAGUUCCAGCGGUAUGGGAUGAGCCCGCGGCCUAUCAGCUUGUUGGUGGGGUAGUGGCCUACCAAGGCGACGACGGGUAGCCGGCCUGAGAGGGUGACCGGUCACACUGGGACUGAGACACGGCCCAGACUCCUACGGGAGGCAGCAGUGGGGAAUCUUGCGCAAUGGGCGAAAGCCUGACGCAGCAACGCCGCGUGGGGGAUGACGGCCUUCGGGUUGUAAACCUCUUUCGACAUCGACGAAGGGGCCCUGUUGUGGGGUUUUGACGGUAGGUGUAGAAGAAGCACCGGCUAACUACGUGCCAGCCGCUGCCGUAA
rnacentral:rRNA from 1 species